AAGUCGUAACAAGGUUUCCGUAGGUGAACCUGCGGAAGGAUCAUUAACAGAGAGGAACCAGUUUCCUUGGGGGCUCGGCCCCCGUCUCUUCACCCUGCGCCUACCUACCAUUGUUGCUUUGGCGGGCCGGAGGCUUUAUCUCUAUUUGUCGGCAGCUGGUCUUAAAAGACCGCUCCGGCGGAUCGUGCCCGUCAGAAGCCCACUAAAUUCUGUUUAUCAGCGUCGUCCGAGUCAAAAAAACAAAUAGUUAAAAACUUUCAACAACGGAUCUCUUGGUUCUG
rnacentral:misc_RNA from 1 species